rnacentral:tRNA from 1 species
AAGAGUGUUGUAUUAACACUGCUAACGUUAUCUCCUAGGAAUUAACUGCCCUAGCACUCUUA